CUGAGGCAGGAUGUGAUCCACGUGGUCUGACGUCAGAGCUCAGCUCUCUGCACCUUGCCCUGUUGCUUCUUCUUGCCUUUUUUCCUACCCUCUUUUCCUUCCCUUCUCCUAACGUUGUUUUCUCCUUCUCUUCUUCUAGGUCCCUGAACAAGAUCUUCUAUUCUCGGGAUAUGGGAGGCAUCAGCACAGUAGAAAACGAAGCUGACCAUCUCUCAGGAGGCAGCUUAGGUUGGGAAUCUCUUCAGGCUUGCUUUCUGCAAAUCGCUGGGUACAAAACAUUAUUGCAGAUGUGGAAAAAAUGUGCAGAGAACCUGUGCUUCUGAUAAUGCCUGACAUGAAGAAAUGCAUCUGAAGAGCUGAUGAAAGUCCUCUUGACCUUCGCGUCCUAUCUUCUGAGAAUGAGCAUCUUCAGAGAAACCACCAUCUCCUUGUGGUAGAAUUGCCUAAGGCCUUGCCAACAGGCAGCUAUCUGGGAAUCAGGGGAGAUCCAGAAGCCGGCUUUUUUUCCCUGUAUGUCCUCCUGAGGCCUUUAUCCAGACCCUGUCUGUGAAGUGAAGCAGCUUUCUAGUUAUAGUAACAUUUUUAGGCACUAGUUUUCCUGAGCUUGACCUGAGCUUAAGAACUAUAUCAGAAUGGGAUGGGUUGCUUGGAAGGAGGUUAAUAUGGUUCCCUCGUUGAAGUGGUUGGGGUUUGUUACAGAAGAAAUUUCUGUAUGGAGUGAGUGGAUAAAGGUCACUCUUUCUAACUCAGCAAAUCUAUUGAGAUUAUUAUUCAGGUGGUAAAAGCAGAUAAUGCCCAUCCCUUGAAGGGAUGUUUUAACUUUUGUUUUAACUAGGCUUGUAUCUGUCUAGUAUUUUUAUAACUGACCUAAAAGAGGUUUAUCAACAGAAGGGAAAAUUAAAGGAGAGGACCAGUAUAAUGUUUGAAUUUUUCUUAUACCCCCCUCACUGCAACAAUGAUCUAAUCACUUAUUUUAUAUCUUCUUAACUGUUGCUUCCCUAAAUGUUAUUUACAUGUAACUGGUUAGAAUUACAGACUUGGUUUCAACAAAGGGAAAAUAGAGGUUUUGGAAAUAGUUUCCUGUUUCUGUUACAAAUAUAAACUGUUAAAAAUUGUAAGCUGCUAAGCAGUGCUGAAUUUUGCUGUUUUGCUGAAAAUGUGAUCAAACAGGGAAAAGAUGCCUUAUUCAUCACGUUUCUUUCUUUAUGUUCUCUUGGGGUUGCCAGCUUAGCAGAUUAUCUGAAUCUUAAUUAUGUUAGGAACUAAGUACAAACAAAUCCUCUGGUUUCCUCAGGUGAUUUUUAAAGAAUAAAUAACUAUGAGUUACUACCCA
rnacentral:lncRNA from 1 species